rnacentral:rRNA from 1 species
UCGGGAAUUUUGCGCAAUGGACGAAAGUCUGACGCAGCAACGCCGCGUGAGGGAUGAAGGCCUUCGGGUUGUAAACCUCUUUUCUCAGGGACGAUAAUGACGGUACCUGAGGAAGAAGCCACGGCUAACUACGUGCCAGCAGCCGCGGUAAUACGUAGGUGGCAAGCGUUGUCCGGAUUUACUGGGCGUAAAGAGCGCGCAGGCGGUCGUGCAAGUCGCGUGUGAAAGCCCCCGGCUCAACUGGGGAGGGUCACGCGAUACUGCUCGACUCGAAGGCAGGAGAGGGAAGUGGAAUUCCCGGUGUAGUGGUGAAAUGCGUAGAUAUCGGGAGGAACACCAGUGGCGAAGGCGACUUCCUGGCCUGUUCUUGACGCUGAGGCGCGAAAGCUAGGGUAGCAAACGG